rnacentral:rRNA from 1 species
ACGCUGAAGGAGGAGCUUGCUUCUCUGGAUGAGUUGCGAACGGGUGAGUAACGCGUAGGUAACCUGCCUGGUAGCGGGGGAUAACUAUUGGAAACGAUAGCUAAUACCGCAUAAGAGUAGAUGUUGCAUGACAUUUGCUUAAAAGGUGCACUUGCAUCACUACCAGAUGGACCUGCGUUGUAUUAGCUAGUUGGUGGGGUAACGGCUCACCAAGGCGACGAUACAUAGCCGACCUGAGAGGGUGAUCGGCCACACUGGGACUGAGACACGGCCCAGACUCCUACGGGAGGCAGCAGUAGGGAAUCUUCGGCAAUGGACGGAAGUCUGACCGAGCAACGCCGCGUGAGUGAAGAAGGUUUUCGGAUCGUAAAGCUCUGUUGUAAGAGAAGAACGAGUGUGAGAGUGGAAAGUUCACACUGUGACGGUAUCUUACCAGAAAGGG